rnacentral:rRNA from 1 species
UACGUAGGGUGCAAGCGUUGUCCGGAAUUAUUGGGCGUAAAGAGCUCGUAGGCGGUUUGUCGCGUCUGCUGUGAAAUCUGGGGGCUCAACCCCCAGCCUGCAGUGGGUACGGGCAGACUAGAGUGCGGUAGGGGAGAUUGGAAUUCCUGGUGUAGCGGUGGAAUGCGCAGAUAUCAGGAGGAACACCGGUGGCGAAGGCGGCGUUCUGGACUGCAACUGACACUGAGGAACGAAAGCCAGGGGAGCAAACGGG